rnacentral:rRNA from 1 species
CCUACGGGAGGCAGCAGUGGGGGAUAUUGCACAAUGGGGGAAACCCUGAUGCAGCGACGCCGCGUGGGUGAAGAAGCGCCUCGGCGCGUAAAGCCCUGUCAGCAGGGAAGAAAAUGACGGUACCUGAAGAAGAAGCCCCGGCUAACUACGUGUCAGCAGCCGCGGUAAUACGUAGGGGGCAAGCGUUAUCCGGAUUUACUGGGUGUAAAGGGGGCGCAGACGGCGAUGCAAGCCAGGAGUGAAAGCCCGGGGCCCAACCCCGGGACUGCUCUUGGAACUGCGUGGCUAGAGUGCAGGAGGGGCAGGCGGAAUUCCUGGUGUAGCGGUGAAAUGCGUAGAUAGCAGGAGGAACACCGGUGGCGAAGGCGGCCUGCUGGACUGCAACUGACGUUGAGGCCCGAAAGCGUGGGGAGCAAACAGGAUUAGAUACCCCAGUAGUC